rnacentral:lncRNA from 1 species
CCAGAUUCUAAAUAAGGGAGCUUUUGUCGUCCGACUCGGCUACAUUGGUGGGUAGAUGACCCUUAUAUGGUAUAGUAUCCAAAAAAAGGAACGUUCUGGUUAUCUGUGGUGUUUUGGGGCUCUGGGAUAAGCGGUGGAGCACUGUUUCCUGUCUUGCGGACAUGAGUCUGAGCAGACUAGGUUAGUGGUGGUGAUUUGUUGGCAUCAGCAGCAACAAGAGUGAUCGACAGGCUUGCCAUGUUUCACACUUGUUCCAACUCUUCUCGAAACCUCAUCAAAGUUUGCUCAAGAUGAGCAGCAGUUUCUUUGGUGAUUGAAGCCUCUACAACUUCCUUCCUAGCAUUGGUAUCUUCCAUUUUGUUCUUGUUCCUAUUUCUGGGAGAAUUCAGAGGAGGAGGAGGUGGAGGACCCUUUGAUCAUUUUGAGUAUGCUGAUGGUGCCAGAAUGCACUAACUAACCUUUGGGGAGGGGAAUAAAAAAUAAAGAAAAACAAAAAAGGUAAGAAGUUAGUGCGAAUUCUGAGAAAGAAAAUACUGCGGUAUUUAAACACAUUGUUGCAAAAAUGUAAGUUGUUUCCUAUUUGGGUGACUCGUUGUGCCCUAGGUAGGCCUAGAAACACAUAUGAUUUGGAGAAAUUAUAACACCAUGUGCCUCAUUUUAUCGAUAGAAAAUAGAACGAGUCAAAACAAAUUGAAAUAAAGAGAGAUUGUCACUAAUGGCAAGUGGCCAUAUAACAUCAAGAAAGUAGUAAAAAUCCUAACUACUUGGUCCCAGAAGGACCUUCCCCAGAUUUGGUAUCUUUGCCUCCCUCUUACAGCUGCAUCAACUCGCGCAGUCCUAGCAACAAAUAAGCUGGAGCCAAGUGACCACCUUCGUUACCUUCAGCUUAGACGAUUGUUUGCAUGGACAGCCAUGUCCUUCCUUUCACUAAUUAGCUUCUCUUGCGCCUCUAGUAUUUCCCGAUACUCACUUUUGCACUUUCGCAUCUAUUUGCGUAGCUGAUUGUACUUGACCUUUGCGGUAGUCUUCUCAUAAAUAACCCUGUGGUUAUUGGUGAAACCUAUUUUUCCCAACCCGAUUGGUCAUCUUCUAACCAUCCUAGAUAAAGCGGCGCAUGCCCUGCCCGAUACCUGUCUGGUUCCAUAGAUUCCUUUUCCAAGAUGAGAUUGGAAUGCCGCAUAUGCUGAGCCCGACACCUUUGUGGGCUAUCAUCAUCUUGGAAGUCAGCCCUAUAGUGACUCAUCUUUUCUACCCUUGGUAAAAUUUCAUUUCUUCCCGCUUGCCUCAUGACCCGGAGAGGGACAUAAGUGUAUGUUCCACUUAAGCCGAUGACUACAAGGAAUGGCACAUCCCUAGAUCGAAUUAUAAACUCUCUAGUUGGGACACGUCCACUACACCUGCUCUUCUUUCAGAUUCUCGAAUAGUUCUACCCAUCCAAUAGCGUCUUCCGCGCGAGCGAACAUAUCCGACAUGAAGUGCAUUCGCUUUGGAUGAUGGAAAGCAAUAUGGUCAUCCUUUUCUCGACGUAUGAUUUCCUAUCUAUAAUCUCCCUUUUGAAGAUGUUCAAUGAGCCAGAGUUGUAGUAGAGAAUUGCACCCAUCAAAGUAUGGUGCCCCUUGUUGACAUUUCUCUAAGGCUUGGUAUAGUUCGGCGAGGAUCAUGGGUGCUAUGCUGAAUGCCUGCCCAUCAAAACCCUCCAUUAUGGCUUUGGUUACCAUUGCUAGUCUUGUAUGGAUUCUAGCCUUUUUUAUUGGAAAGUCAUCAUGCCCAGGAAGCAGAACACUAAUACAAAGGCUCUCCUAUGUAUGUGCCCUAAAGAGGUGAGGGCGAACUCGUCCAUGUGAAUGUGGUAGGAUUUGCUAUGUCCGAACCUGUCAUACAUGAUGUCUAAGGAUAUGUAGGAGUCCUUCAGGUUGGUCAGAUUAGGAUUCUUCUUGAGCCCCAUCAUUUUCUGGAAACCUCUACCUUUGCCGUUUUCUGGCAUAAGCAACCCCGGGCUAUCCCAAGGAAUUCAAGCUAGACCCCCAAUUUCUUCUAAUAGAGGCGUCAUUUCAAUACCCCCAAAGCGGAAGACAGACUGUUCACUAUUCCAAAAUAGAGUAGCAGCUUACACAAUCUUCUAAUCUGGCCUAACUUCCAGGAGUGAAGGAAGAUUUCCUAAGUGCUUGCAGACAAGAACCCGAUCACUAUCAUGAAGAUCCUCCCACCAUCUAAGUAACUUUGGGUGAAUGUUUGAUACCAUACCGAAUCAGGGGACCUCGCGCCUCAUUUCUGCAAAACAAAGUGUAAGGCCCUUAACCCCACCAGACUCGACUAUUUACAUCGAUAAUUAGCAGUAAGGUACUUAAGUUCUCCAAAUACAUGCACAUAAUGUGAAGGCGUCCGUUUGGGUUUCGAGGAGGAGGUGGAGGACCCUUUGAUCAUUUUGAGUAUGCUGAUGGUGCCAGAAUGCACUAACUAACCUUUGGGGAGGGGAAUAAAAAAUAAAGAAAAACAAAAAAGGUAAGAAGUUAGUGCCUUAUUUAGGCUAUCUUAAUGAGUCAUUAUGUGGACAAAAUAACUGACUCGGCUAGGGUUGACCAUGAUGCAUGAACAGUAUAACGGAAUAAGGUUAUACUAACUUCGAAGUGCUAGACAAGGUACCCUUUAGUGGACAACUCAAGAGGGAAAGGCACGGAACCCUCGACUACACCGUUGAUCGACUGGUUUCACCAAAAAUAUGCCUUUUCCUUAUUUAAGGGGUCCAUAAUAUUAGUAGAGCGCAACCACUCAUUAUAAGCGUUGCUAUAGGAUUUGUUAGGCACGAGUUGAAAUGAUGUUGAAGGAUGCAAUUACAACAAAUAAUUACAUGUAUUUUCACGUUCAUAAGAUAAUGAUUACAAUAGAUGCUCAAAAUUUAAGACAGAAUUGAAAUGAAGUUAAAGCAGUAAAAAAAAAAAGAAAAAGAAAACACGAAGAAUCAAGUUAGUAAAUAUGAGGAAAUAAUUAAAGCAGUAAAUAAAGGCAGUAAAGAAAGCAACAAAGUCACAAAGCACGUAAUGGUAAAAUCCUUAAAGAACUCCCCAGCAGAGUCGUCGUGCUGUCGACACCCCCUUUUUCAACCCACUAAAAGGCGAAAUCGGCUUUACAAUAUUACAUUUCCCCAGCGGAGUCUCCAUGUUGUCGACGCCCCCUUAUUCUGACUAUUAAAAAUAAUAGAAAUAGGGUUUACGACAUUAUGGACAAAACAACUCUUAUUCCCGUAUGGGAAUUUGGCAACUCUAAGUUGAAGAGUCGCCACCUAAUUAUUAUGGUACAUUAGGAAAAUUUUAGGAAGAAAAGAGUAUUUUUGAAAGAAAACCAGAGUUCGGGUAAGGGAUUGAAAUUAUCUCAAGGGGAAGGUGGUAGGCACUCCUCAAGAUCCACUAGUGUGGUUCCCGACCGUUCUAGUUGUGUCUUUAAUGAGACAAAGAAAAUAAAUGAGUAAAGGUUUGCAUAUAAACAUUUAAGACAGUUGAGAAUUGUAAAGAGGAAAAAAGGCAUAAUUUAAAUAAAGCGAAAGGGAGAAUUAAUUUGAAAAAGCAUUACUUUAGGAAAAAUAUUUAAAUAAAUCAAGCAAAAGAGAAAGAGGUCAUAAGUUUGACUAUAAUAUUGAUUAUUCGAUACAAUAUCCCUCACAUAUUCCCAAAGAGGAUUCGCUUUAUGAUAUUAUCGCGUCGUCGUCAUCUCCAUAUUCUACCCUUCACACCUUGUUAAGGUAUUAAGCGCGAUUGGUCUCGUUUACCUAUUGCAUGCUAGUACCCGUCUCAACCUAUUAGUCUCAGGGUAUUAUGAGUCCUAAUCUAAAGAGGGGGGAGAGAAAGAUAGGACAUAUAUGGUGUUUUUAAAGUUAAAAAUACUAAGCGUCAACCAAAACAAAUAGCAUAUAAAGGUAUGCAAAUAAGAAAUUCAAAGGCUCAUAUAAACCCCGUAAACCAUAACAGCAAUUACUAUAGCAUGCCUUACAAAUACUGGUUUGGUCUUAAUUUUUAUGCUGAUUGCGAAUGGAUUAGUUAAACACAUAAAGCUGGAUAGAAAAUCUGCUUCGAGCCCCCCCCCCNNNNNNNNNNNNNNNNNNNNNNNNNNNNNNNNNNNNNNNNNNNNNNNNNNNNNNNNNNNNNNNNNNNNNNGGCAUGUUAUCAGGAAUUGUCGUAUUUUAAAAUGCAAGGGAGUUUUAAUAGGCAGUAGGAGAAAUAAGAGACUUGAAAAGCAGCGGACAAUUUAAGUAAAAAUGUGCAAGAAAGUAUCAGAAAGACAUGCAGAUUUGAAAAGAAAAGAGAGUUGCACGACUAUAUCGAAAACUGAAUAAAUGUCGAGGCUGAGUUGUUUUAUGCAGAAAAUAGAAGCAUUUGGGCAGGUAGAUUAUUUUAAAGACUGUUCCACAGAAAAUACUUUUGGAAGCACAUUGUUGUGAAAGGCAAAAAAAUUGACAUGAGGUGUUAAUGGGCAUGCAUAGCUAACGGUUUGCGGAAAACGUAAUCUUGAGAAAGACAUAAAAGCUCAGAUGACUGACUGUUAUUAACUAUGCAAAAAAGGCGAGUUGGCAAUUUACCCUAUAGGCAUGAUGUCUAUGAUUCUGAUUUUAAAAGUUGUUAAUGAAUAAUUGAGCAUUUAACCUUUCAGUUUGUCUAUCGCGUGCAAGUCAUAUAGGCAUAAUUUCAAUAUGCAUUCGAUUACAAAAAGUAUGCAAGUCCUAUAACAGGAUUUCUAUAUGCAUUUGAUUACAAAAGUAUGUGAGUCCUAUAGGCAGGAUUUCUAUAUGCAUUUGAUUACAAAAUAUGCAAAUCCUAUAGGCAGGAUUUCUAUAUGCCUUUGAUUACAAAAUAUGCAAAUCCUAUAGGAAGGAUUUCUAUUGUGUUUAUGCAUAGAAUCCUUUAAACAUGGUUUCUAACCUUUGACAUGUGCAGAAAUAGUAAAGCCAUUCCCACACUCUUUCACUAUUAUCCCCAAAUUUUUUUACACAAUUAUUGACGAAAACUUGAAAGAAAGGACAAAAAAUAAGAUAACGACAUCACUAUCAUAAGUAAGUCUCGAACCAACCUUAAUGUCCAACCCAUGCAUUUUUGCCGAUUCCAGAUUGCAGAUCUGAAGGCCUUCUCAUACUCAAGGUGUUAUUAGAGUUCCAAGGAAUCUCAGGGAUUCCCGGCAGUGCAUAGCACCUUUAAUAGCUUAGAGUAACAGAAUAGUGCAGUGUGGAUGUACCAGCCCUAAGGCAUCCGAGAUCAGACGGAGCUCAAAGGUCCCAAAGCAUGGCUUACCAAUGGGGGCGAGACUUAUGAGAGACUAAUAAUUAGUGUAAAUGUGAAGGAAAUUUGAGGAAAACGCCAAGUAAGUGGUGGUCAUACCCAGCCAUGGGAAAGACUGGCACACCCCUUACCCUUUACUGGCUCAAACACAUAGAGAGUAGACUUGAGAAAGUCAGACUCAGGUCUGAAUGGUGAUUAGGGCACCACCAGGCCUGAGUAAGGCUCAACACAUAAAUGGGGGAUUAAGGGAGUGGGAUUACUUUGAGUAUAGGUUGAGAAUAACCUGGUUCUAAAGUAGAGGUGGAAAUAAGGUACCACUCUAGUCCAAAAAGAACACUCACAUACAAAAGGGAUCGGGGAAAGAGAUCAAAUAUGAAAGCAGAUGCAUAAAACAGAGCAUAGUUAAACAGAAAGGGGUUUGGGAAAAGGGAUGUGAAGGAAGACAAUUAUAACAAACAUAACAGAAUUCAACACAUGGGAAUAUGGGGUAGGGAUGUAACAUGCUGAAGUUCAAUUACAUAAUGUGAAGAAAUAGAGCAUAAAUAUAUAUAUGAAAAGUAUAAGUAAACACAUAGUUUCGAAGUGGUAUAUAAAUCAUGGAACCUACCUGUUGCAAGUUUCAAACAACAAUACAAACAUAACAAGUAGGAUCUUAUAAUUAGCCUUGGCUUUCAGCCGGCUAAGACGAGCAGCACACUUAGUAACAGAGAAAAGCAGAGAAGAAAAGAGAGAGUUUAUUGUAUGAACUUGUGAAAAUUGUUCUUGUUUAUGUGUGUCAUUUGAAGAGAAGGAGUAGGGUAAUUAUAGUUUGAAAGUGGUAAGUAAGGAAAAAUAUAAUUCAAUACCAAUCAAAAUCAAUUAGAAGAGGGUAGUUCCUUUAAUUAAGGAAUUUGAAUUUGAAUAGGAGUGGGUAGAGUUAUAUUUAAAGAAAGAAAAUCAGUAACACAUGGUGCAAUAAGGGGUAAAUACAUAGGAGAAGCUUUGAAGAUACACGGUUAGAUAAAUAAGGUAAAGGUAAAAUCAAUUAAUCACGUAGUAAAUCAAGAAUCAGGGAUUCGAACUCAGUAGUGCAUUAAGUCAGAAUACAGGUCCAAAUCAGACAAGGAGAGAACCAAGUAAGUUCAUAGAAAAUCAAUCCCCAAAAAUUAAGGUUGUUCAGAGAAAGAAGUAUUUGACUAUAAAAGUAAUGCAUUAAGCUAGAAUAUAGGUCCAAAUCAAUUAAGGAGAGAAUCAAGCAAGUUCAUAGAAAAUCAAUUCCCAAAAAUUAAGGUUGUUCAAAGAGAAAAAAUAUUUGACUAUAAAAGGGAGCAUAAACUUAAACAUGCGAGGUUAAAAAAUAAGAGUAGUCAUGCAAAGUAGAAGAACAUAGAUAUGCAAGAAAUCAAGAGGUCUUGCAAAGCUUAGCGAGAAUUAGAGNNNNNNNNNNNNNNNNNNNNNNNNNNNNNNNUUCAGAGAGAAAAAUAUUUGACUAUAAAAGGGAGCAUAAACUUAAACAUGCGAGGUUAAAAAUAAGCAGAGUAGUCAUGCAAAGUAGAAGAACAUAAAUAUGCGAGAAAUCAAGAGGUCUUACAAAGCACAAGAAUCAGAAACAUGAGACGAGUAUUAGCGGACUAGGGUUUACAAAUUAAACAGGAAACAAAAAUACUCGCACACAAGUAGUCUGAAAACCCCCCAAAAUCUAGGGUUUCUUCCUCACAGACGAAAGCAUAGAGAAUCAGGCAAAGAAUAAACUCUGAAAGUCCAAAGAACACCAACAUUCAUGGAAGCAUAAUGAAAGAAGAAAUGUUAAAGAAUUUACUCGAAAACCUUAGAGAAAAAUAAAAAUAAAGAAAACCCCUAAAAAUCAUAGUGAAAACACAUAGGAUUUACAGCAAAGCCAAAUAAUGUAAGAAAUAAAAGUAGAACAAGUAAAAAUACGGAAACCCUUAGUUUUAAGAAGAUGAACAGUCUUGAAAGAAAAAAUUAAAAAAGAUGUGAGAAACACUUAAAAAUCUUGAAUACAACACGGAUCGACAGUAGAUCUUAGAGAGAAACAAGAAAACCUCGAGAGCUUAGGGUUUCAGAGAAAACCAUAGAAAAUGAGAAGGCCUAGAACGGGCUGGUCCUGAGUUAGAGUUAGACUUACAGGGUUGGGACUCGCUGGAGAAGAGCCGGAAAGGGCCAUAGAACUUGAAUCGAAGAGCUUCAGAGCUGGGGUCUUCAAGGUCAUACCUCGAAUCCUCAUGCAAGAGGAGGAUAAGGGUGGGUGGAUUUAGAUAUAGGUUACACAAGGCCUGGGAGGCCAUGAUUUCUGGUGUGAUAUGGUCAGAGACCGGCGGAGAAGGCUAGGGUUGAAGAGAGGAGUUGAGAUCGUUUGAGAGAGGAGGGGGAUACAAGGGCGGCUGAAGGUGAAACGUGAUUAGGAUUAUGGGGUGUAUCGGGUUUAAUUAUGGAGGAGAUCAUCGUGGAUCGUUGAUCUAAAUGAUCAACGCUCAUGAUUUAAAAGAAAGAACGGGGCGGGUCGGUUUAAUGGGUAACUGGGUAGGGUAAGUGGGGUUAAAUUGAAAAUAAAAAAAGAGCUAUGAUUUAAAUAGCCAUUUUCUCCAAUUAAAAUUUUAUAAAAAAGUAAAUAAUACUGUAAAGACCAAAUUAAAAUACUAGAUUAAUAAAUAAUGUAUAAGUAUUAAAUUAAAAAUGCCAGGAACAAUUAUGUAGCUAAAAUAUUUAUUAAAUCGAAAAUAGGCCAGAAUUGCAAUUUUCGUUUAGAAAUACCUAACGAACUUGUAAAAUUGCAUAAAAAUUAAGUAAAUUAUAUUUUUAUAUAAUGAGAGAAUAAAAUACAUUGGUCAAAAAAUAACAAGUUUUUGGACUAAAUAUUGGGAUUUUAUAGUGCAAAAUAAAUCGUAAAUUGAUUUUAAAAUUCUUGAAAUAUGUAGGAAAAUGCCAAACCUUUGUGGAUGCUUAUAUAUGCAUCUACAUAAUAUAUUGGGAAUAUUUUGAGCAUGUAAAUAUAUUGGAAAAAAUGGGUAUCAACAGGACAUUCAUGGGGUCGGUAUUGAGGCUGCAAGCAUAUACCAAGAACGACCACGGACCCCUGUCGUUGACGGGGCCCAGCGACAUGUUUUUUGUCAAUGGAAGAACCAUCUCGUGAAACAUGUUCGUUCUAUCUAAGCCAUAAAUCUGUAAAACCUUCCUUGGCGUUCUUUUCCAUCUGAGAUAUCAAGGAAUGGUCUGGGUCAAUGCGUAUAUUGUACUGAAAUUGUAGCAAAAAAUCUUGAGCCAUGUCUCCCAGCGUGUGCCAGUUCCCCACAUCAUGACAAUCAUGCCAUUCCAAGGCUGCCUCAGUAAGGCUCUCACUGAAAUGCAACAUCAACAAGUCAUAUUCCUUGCUGACAUUCUUCAUUUUAUUGCAAUAAUCCCUCAAGAGCAUGACGGUAUGGAAUCGAGACCUUGGUAAUUGGUUAUGGUGCAUAAUGUUGGGCAUAAAGGACUAAUGGCAGAGCAUACCUACUUGUCCAAGCUUUUUGCAUUCCGACUAUCUGUGUUUUCAACCUCAAAACCUCUUCUUUCAACUCAGAUUCUGAUUUAACAAUACCCCUAGACAGAUCAAUAAUACCUGUGUUCAACCCUUUGUCGGUCAUGACUGCCUUGUUUUUUGACCUUGUAUAGAAUGGAUGAGUUACCACAAACCAACCACAUCAACUUUCUUCACAAUUCAAAACAAAACAGGUUAUAAUGGAUUGAGUCGGUCCUCAUUAUUAAUAACAUCUUUCUAUUUUUUAUUGAAUUUCUUUUCUUUUUUUAUGGUUGUGGUUGAAUCUUAUGUAGAUUACCUACGUAUCAUGAACCCGCAUGAAUCAUGCUGUGUGUGGUUCGUGCAGAUAGAAGGUAAACAACAAUAAAACAUUUUUCGAAAUUUUUAAUUUUUUAUAAUAAAACAAACUUUAUUUCAAAGGUUGAAAAACUGACCAAACACACACACUUUGACGAAGAGACGACGUACAUAAUUUAAAAUCAAACAAGCACAUACUCUAAUCUAAAGAAAUACUAAUUCAAAUAAAGACUGAUAGAUUCCUUUCCCUAUAUGCCAAAUUUAACCAAAUGGCUAUUUUUAAAAGGCAGCCCCUUCUCAAUUUCACAUGAAUUUUUAGGCCGGGGAGGAUUAUUUCAUAAUACUUCACAAACAUGUCCGUUCAUUAUGAAAAUAGCCUUUCGACAACUGAAAGAUACUCUAAGGUUAUCUCAGCAAGAACGGUUUAAGACAGUGCCGAAGCAAGAUCGACUUAUUUUAACCAACGACUAUUUUUCUUGUUUUUCAGAUUAAAAUAAAAGACCUCAUUUGGAAAAUACGACCUUUCAAUACCUCAGGGACGAAGAUUUUAAGGCUGCGUUGGCUAACCGGUCAAAAAAUAAAUAUUGACCAAAAAUGGCCAUUUUUGCAAAGCGAACCUUCAAGUGUCCCAUUCGGAAACAUUCAGCUAUUUAUGACAAAAGGGCGUCACCCGACUAAUUUAUUAUUCUUUUCUUGUUUUUCAAAUUGAAAUAAAUUACUCGGUACUGCAAACGGCGUUUUAGCGCCUCGGGGACGAAGAUUUUAAGGCUGUAAGGGUCAAAAAUAAAAAAAUGACCAAAGGUGGCUGUAUAUGCAAGGUCAGCCUUCCGGCAUCCCAUUUGGGAACAUUAGGCUAUUUUGUCAAAAACAGCGUCACCUAACGUAUUUAUGACGAAAAUUAAAAUUCAGACAUUUUUUUUUUCUAUUUUUGCAAAAGGGGGGUUGGACCCGAUGAGGGUUGACUACGUAUCUCACGCCUUUUGAGAAUAAAACCAUGCGUAGUUCGAGCAAAUUAACCGAAUCAUUUUAAAACAACACUCUUUUUAUUUUUAUUUUUGGCAUUUCAUAAGCAAAGAAUUAAAAAAACAUCUUUUAAAACAAGACUCUUUCUAUUUCCUUUUUUUUUUCAACAAACAACACAUUUUUCCCAACUAAAAAUAAGAGACUUUUCUUUUCUUUUUCAGCAAACAAUAAAACAACCUAUUUUUUCGAACUAAAAAUGAAAGUUUGUUUCUUUUCUUUUUCAACAAACAAUAAAACAACCUAUUUUUCUGAACUAAAAACAAACGACUCUUUUUCUUUUUCUUUUUCUUUUCCAAUAAAACAACCUAUUUUUUUUUGAACUAAAAUUAAACGAAUCUUUUUCUUUUUUUCUCUUCCCUUUUUAGCAACACAAACUACUUAAAAAUAAAACAUUUUCUUUUUCAUUUUCUCAAUGUUACGGCAGAGUUUCAUUAGUACUUGUGCAUUGGUUUUUCUAAAAUAAUCAAUUAACUCCCUAACUGUUAUUUCUCUCUUUUUCUCUUUUCUAUUUUUUCCCCUCAAUUUUUCAACAUUUUCGAGAUUCUAAAACCGGUCAACAUGCAGUUUCAAAACAAAUAUAUGUACAUAGCAAGUAGGAUGCAUCAUGAGGGUCUUUUUCAUUUCAGGUUGCUAGCCCUAAACAGACCGAACCACUGUGUUGAGUCCCCCAAGUCAAAUGCAGCAUGAUGCAAAUAAGCGCUCCUACUAGGGAUCCAGCAUGAAGUGAUGUUAUUCUAGGUCAAAAGCCUGGGUAUAUGUUCUAGACUAUGUACCCGAGCGGACAACUCGAAUCGAGGAUGAGGCAGCGUACCGGUAACCUGCGAGAUCAUCCGGCUUUGCAACUUAUCCGGCCUCUUUCUUAUUUCAGGGUAUGACACUCAAUUUUCCAGCAUUUCUGUGGUUCAGAAACCGGUCAACAUCCAGGUUCGAAACAAACAUAUGUACAGAGAAACUAGGAUGCAUCAGGAUGGUCUUUUCAUUUCAGGUUGCUAGCCCUAGACGGAACCAACCAUUGUGUUGAGUCCCCUAAGUCAAAUGCAGCAUGAUGCAAAUAACCGCUCCUGCUAGGGAUCCGGCAUGAAGUCACGUUAUUCUAGUUUCAAAACCUGGGUAUGUAUUCUAUACUGUCUACCCGAGCGGACAACUCGAAUCGAGGAGGGGGCAGCAUACCGAGAACCUGCGAGAUCGUCCGGCUUUGCAAUUUAUCUAGCCUCUUUCUUAUUUCAGGGUAUGACACUAAAAGAAUAGGGAGUCUCAACCAGUAAGUACUUCCCUGGAGGUGAAGAGAGAAGGGUAUCGGCACAGUUUAUAUACAAUUCAGAUAAUAUCAAAGUGGUAAAAUUUAGCACAUUAAGCAUGAAACAUGUAGGAAAAUCAAAUAUAGCCAAAUAAAACAAUUUAUCUAAGAUCGACUUCUGAACGUUGAACAAAAUGUUCUGGGUUCUUGUCCCCAGCUGAGUCGCCAGAGUUUUCACACCUCCUUUUUCACCUACACCCUACAAGGCACGUAACGAAGUUUUUCCACUUAAAAGACAAUCGAAAUGGGAUUUAAUUAUUAAAAUUCAGAAUCGCCAAUUGCGAGUUUAAUGGUGUCCCAAGUCAUCGGUUGAAACCCGAACUGAGGAAAAUUAUGGUUCUGUAUUACAGUCUGCAAACCACAAAUCCGGAUAAGAAAUUCUAUUUAUCCGGGAGAAAGCGUUACGCAUUCCCGGGUUCUGUGGUUCUAGCACUUACGCUUAACUGUUGUAUUUGAUUUUAUUUGACUUUUAUACAUGCUAGCUUAUGUGCCUUAUUUUGUAAACGACUUUUAUUUUUAUCUUAAGGGAAUUGCAACGUCACGUGAUUUUUAUACAUGCUAGCAUAUAUGCUUUAACUGUCUCGAACCUCAUCGCAAUCAAUGCACCCGUGAUUGUUAACACAUUUCGACUCUGUUGAGAUUUGGAUUUGGGUCUCAUUAAUACGCACCCAAAAUUAUGAAAGUCAUUCAAUUGAAUAGUGCCUAAAGAUUUAGUAUUAUUUUGGGGAAGGCCAUAAAAUUUACUAAACGACCCUCCCAAUUUCAAAAUAUUUUAAUAACCAUUCAUCGAGAGCCCCGCACUUUGUAUUUCGUUUGGCGAGGCUCAUCUCAUCAUUUUAAUAAAAAGCCUACUAAAAUGACUACUAUUUUUUUAUUUUUGUUUUCUCUAGAAAAGAAAUAAAAAACUGAUUAAUUAUCAAUUGCAUUACAUCAAGGCAAACUAAGAAUCACAUUUUUUAACCCAACCUGGUGUGCACGGCAGGCUGUGAUACGGCCCAAUUGCCUCAGCCGCAACAUCAGUGAAAGGUCCAGGCAGCUCUAAUGCCCAGCCCGAGAUCGAGUGCCCACAAGACCAAUUACAACCCCAUUCCAACUAGUAACGUGACCUCCCAGUCCUAAAAAAAUCACACCCUAUAAAUUUCAUCUUACUCAAAUAUAAGGCGUUGGGCCUGAAUGCCAACACUGUCCCAGUUCUCAAUAUUAGAUUUACUGAAUCAAAAUGCUACUCAUUCAGUAUUAUCAAUCUAACAAACUAACUUUAAACAACUUGAGUUUUGAUGAACGAAUUACUGCAUGCCACUGUAGCUAGUUUAUACUAAUGAGUUCCCAAAUUGAUUGCCAACUACUGAAAACAGGAAUUCACUACUGAAAUCAUUCACUAAACAAUACUACUAUCUAUAGAGAGUUCUCAUGAUCUAAGGAAAACAUAGCAUCAAUUCAAAAAGCCACGAAUGAAAACAAUAAGCAAGUGUCCAUUUAUACACUAAUGAACUUCCAAUCCUAAUUAAUCAACCACACGGGAAUUAAAACAAACAAAACGAUAGUGUUAGCAAAUCUGCAGAAAUGCAGUCACAGCGAAUCAAACAGUCCUAGCUUCAAUGCUUCAUUAAUCGAUUUCAAAUGAGUUUUUACAUAUCAAUUUAGCUCCAGCACGUGGACUCUGGGAACAUACUUGAAAAUUGGAACAGAAGUAAGGAAAGUAGGAGACCAAAUUGCAAACAGCAGUAUUCAACGAGUUUCAACAGCAAUUCAAACCAGGCUCGAGUUGAGAAUUGUUUUAAAAUUCAACAAUGUCAAUAGCACAACCAAACAGUACCGAAUACUCAAAACUAAGCCAGGAAAUCAGUGCAUCUAAUCAUGUAACCCAUGACUGAUUUAACUUGUCUUCACACUUCAAUUGUUCGAACAGAAAUGAGGAACUCAAGCAGUUCCUGAUUUUAACUAAGCUAAAAUGUUGAUUUAAAGCUGAACAUUUGAAAAUGUUGAUUCAAGCAGUUCCUGAUUUUUUUUUGGGUUUUGGAAUUUUCUAUUGUUUUUGGGGUUUUGGAGUUUGAAUUUCAGAUCUUAGAUCUGAAAAUUAGAGAGCAUACUGUGGGGGAAUUUUUGAUCUCCAAAAACUUCCUUGUCAAGGCAUUAAUGAUGCCAUUUUAUAUGAAAAAGGAGAUGCAAGUCAGGUUUUCUGCUUUACAAAAUAGUCCCUCCCCAUUUUAAGUUUUAACCCUCUAUUUAUUAACUUGUUAUUGAAGUACGUACCUCUAUUUGUGCUGAAAUGUACACUAAAAUCGUAUUCUAGAAGGCCCUAGGGUGUUCUUCUACCCAUACAAUACCUAUACUACCCUUGCCUUUCUUUUAGAUUACCAUUCUUAAUAAACUACUUUUUCCAUGCCUAAACUACCCGUAUCUUCUCCUUGAAAUUACUACCCAACCCAAAACCAUCUUGCCUUAAUCAAAAAAUAACUUUGAUUAAUCAAGAAAUAAGUUUAUUCAGCUAUAUCCAAACAAGUUCAAAUUCAAAUCCUAAAUCCAAACUAACUACUAAACUUCAAGUCCACAAUUACUAUCGACAUUUAAAACAACUCAUCAAACGACCAUUAUAUACUCAGUAUGAGAACAGGUUGAACCAUUUUGAACAAUUUAAAGAACAACUACUGAACCAUUCUUAGCAACUAAAUCAAAGCGAAACAAUUAAUUAACUAAAACGAGAAUUGAACCUAUCGACUUCAAAUGUUUGAAACCGAUAUCAAUCCAACACCAAAAAUCUAAUCCAAAUUAAACACUAAACACGAAUGACUAACUUAUGGGCAAAAAAUAUAGAAAAAAAAAACAAAUCAAAAGGAAAGGAAACCCUACUGUUUUUUACUUGACAUAACCUGGCAAUGUAUUCACACGGAAAUUACGAAACCAUUCGAUGGCUUGGAUGAUAAGCAAUUGGCUUGAAUCCUAGCAUUGAACCACCUUGAAGGUUUCUGCCUCCCAUUGAAGAUUCGAGAAACCUGGUGUGUGUUUGAGGACCAAUAUUUGUAGACUUGGACUAAGGAGGUUGAGGGGAACUCAGGGUGUAAUUUUGGGCCAAUUUGGGCGGUGUCGCCGUCGUGGACGACGGAGACGGCGACAAGAAAUCUUAUUAUUCCAGGGCUUCUGGUCGGAUUUGAAAGGCGAUAAUGGUAGAUUAGUGGCAGAGACAACGAGGCAUUAUAGGGGUUUAUUUUUGGAAUCCAACGGAGAAGGUGACGUUCACUGACGGCGGCUCCGCCAGUGGUGUUACAGGGUUUUAUACGAGGAGGAGAGAUAUGUCGUGUCGGGUUAUUGAGUUAUAGGA